UGAUCGAUCUGCCUGAAACAUCUGUCUCCUCAUUGAUCUCUAGGGUUAAUUUGGCUAAUCUAUCUCAUCAAGCAUAUUUUCCUUUCUUUCCUAACUACUCCAUGUGUUCUCCCCACAAAUUUGUAUGCUAUAUUUCAGAGAACAACUGUUUAUCUAUAACGUUUAUAUGAGCAUCUUCACUCUCCUGUUAGGACCAAAAAAGAAAAUCCCUCAAGAUAUUUUUUGCAUUUGAACAUGAGGCUCUAUUUGUAGCAGAUAUUUUAUUUGUUGGAUGUCUACUACAUGUAUAA
rnacentral:snRNA from 1 species